UACGGGGGGGGUAAGCGUUGUUCGGAAUUACUGGGCGUAAAGGGCUCGUAGGCGGCCAACUAAGUCAGACGUGAAACCCCUCGGCUUAACCGGGGAACUGCGUCUGAUACUGGAUGGCUUGAAUCCGGGAGAGGGAUGCGGAAUUCCAGGUGUAGCGGUGAAAUUCGUAGAUAUCGAGAGGAACACCGGUGGCGAAGGCGGCCAACUGGACGAAUACUGACGCUGAGACACGAAAGCGUGGGGAGCAAACAGG
rnacentral:rRNA from 1 species